rnacentral:rRNA from 1 species
GAAUCCGCUAAGGAGUGUGUAACAACUCACCUGCCGAAUGGAUUAGCCCUGAAAAUGGAUGGCGCUGAAGCGGGCAGCCGAUACCACGCCGUCUAUUUUAAUGAAUGUAAUAGAUGAGUAGGAGGGCGUGGAGGUCGUAUCGAAGCAUGCGUGCGAACGUGUGUGGAACGGCCUCUAGUGCAGAUCUUGGUGGUAGUAGCAAAUAUUCAAGCGAGAUCCUUGAAGGGCGAAGCGGGGAAGGGUUCCACGCGAACAUCGAUUGGGCGUGGGUGAGUCGUUCCUAAGCCGCGUGGUAAUAGCUAUCAAUCGGCGAAAGGGAAGCGGGUUGAAAUUCCCGCACACGGAUGUGGAGGCGGCGACGCUUUAUUGAGACGAGCCCGUCGGCGAUUGCACUGGGCAGAGAUGUCUUUUCUGUUUAACCAGCUCGCGCGUUGUGUGGAAUCCGAUUAUCGGGCGAAACACACGUGCCGGGUAAGAGCGCCGGGACUUUUCCGGCGUCCAGCUCGCGAUCGACGGCCCUUGAAAACUUGUCUACUGCAAUUAAAUCCACGCCGUGGCGUACCGAUAACCGCAUCAGGUCCCCAAGGUGAACAGCCUCUGCCUAAUAUGAACAAUGCAGGUAAGGGAAGUCGGCA